rnacentral:rRNA from 1 species
GUGGGGAAUAUUGGACAAUGGGGGCAACCCUGAUCCAGCAAUGCCGUGUGUGCGAUGAAGGCCUUCGGGUUGUAAAGCACUUUUAGCAGGGAAGAAAAGGUGUCCGCUAAUACCGGGCACUGCUGACGGUACCUGCAGAAUAAGCGCCGGCUAACUACGUGCCAGCAGCCGCGGUAAUACGUAGGGCGCAAGCGUUAAUCAGAAUUACUGGGCGUAAAGGGUGCGCAGGUUGUUAAGUAAGAUAGGUGUGAAAUCCCUGGGCUCAACCCAGGAACUGCACUUAUGACUGCUUAGCUAGAGUGUGUCAGAGGGGGGUAGAAUUCCACGUGUAGCAGUGAAAUGCGUAGAUAUGUGGAGGAAUACCGAUGGCGAAGGCAGCCCCCUGGGACAACACUGACGCUCAUGCACGAAAGCGUGGGGAGCAAACAGG